AAAAUAAUGGAGAAGGUACAGCGAUUGAAAUCUGAAAUUUCUCCAAGUCGACGCUCGCGAUCGUCGCGAUCAGCGGCAGGACAAUAAGAAUAAGACGCAUUUUCAAGCGGAGACCAGAGUCGAAAUAGCGUUCCGAAUCGUCCUGGAUCGCGUAGUAUUGGAUCGGAGAAGUAGUUUCGAUGCAAAAGCGAUAUUUAUAGCGUGUGGCGACUGCCUCUGCGUGGACUUUCCGGCAUCGUGGCGGGCCAACAAAAAUAUAUUCACGCUUCGAACGUCUCUCACGGGUAAAGGCGCCUUUGUGUGUUGCCACGAAACUACAUACAUACAUAUAUGCAUGCCCUACGGCUUUUUUCGAAUCGUCUCCGAUCACGAUUCCAUCUAACGAACGUUGAUAGUAAUUACGAAGUUCUCGUAGAAAUGACAUGGCAUAACUAACCUAAAAGUGUAUAUAUGUAUAUAUGUAUGUAGAUGCAUGUGACUGUUUAGCCAAGAAAUCAGAGCGACACGUGGAGGAGACUAAAAUACUCUUACCGAUUUUCACCGAUCGUUUAUGGAUAGUAAAUAAUAUUCCCUUGAUGAAUUGGCGUUCUGCAGUUUGCCAAUUUUGAAAACGGAACGCGGAAACGGCGAGUUAAGUUUGAUAGAUGUUCUGUCAGUCUGUCAUCUCCUCUCAGUGAUUCAAUUAUGAGUUACUGAAUUUCAACAGUGUUUGAAUUAGUUCGAAACGGCAUGUAAUUUGCCAAGUGCAAUCUAUAACUCCAACGAUUUGUAUAACAAGUAUCCAUGUAAUAUAAAUUUGUAACCAGAAAAACGAAAUUUGGUGGAACACACGGAAGGCUAUCUCUUCCUGACAACUGUCUAAUUGGUAGUUGCUUUGUCGAAUUCAACUGGCAACAGAGAGGAGACGAUUAGAGACGGCGUUUGUAGAGGUGUGAAAGAGAAUUGUUAUAAAUACAUUUCAACGAUCGUGGACACGCGCCACUCGCCUUUCGAUUCGUGUUCGAAUUUGUUGUAUUUACGGGCCAAUGAACUCGCCUGGAAAUUUAAACUAACCAGACGGCGCUUACGUUUUUCAGAAGGGAGAAAGCGAGUUCCUUUUUCCCUUAAAAAAAAAAAAAAAAAAGAAAAAAAUCGACGCUGCGAUUGAACUGUGCUGCACCCAGUUUUCACGCUAGCCGAUUUCACGUCGUGGAUUUUCAAUCGUUUGUUUAAAAUACGCUAGCUAAAAUUAAUCGCCGGUGAAACAGAAGCGAGCAAGCAAGUACUUACACUUUUCCUUCGAUCGUCGUUGCGAACAUUCAUCAUGAUUGGACUUCAUCAGAUGUGAAUCUGAAUGCGGUGCAGUUUGCUCGCUCCUGCGUGUGUGAGUUGGUGUUGUCAAAGUAUUGUCGCAUGGCAAGCGCAGCGCAGCAGCAACGUUAGAGUUCAACAUUAGAAACUUCAAUAGCGGAUCAAAGCGUGCUACUUCGUCUUUUGCGUCGAGUUCGAAGAUAUUCCAAAGAACAGUUUCUACCGGUGGAGCAGUGUGAAGAGAGAAAGUGAUCGUCGAGUUUAACGAUGAUGUUUCUUGAUACGAUGGAGCUAUCAAUCAGGCGCUGCGAUUGAAGUAUGCGAGAAGAAAAGAAAAGAAGAAAAAAAAGAAAAGAAAAAAGAAGAGAGAGAGAGAGAGAGAGAGAAGUAGGGAGAGGUUUAAUACGAAGCGUUAAUAGUCAAGUUACGUAGCGAUAGUAGCGUGCCGAUAGUGAUGCGAUAAAUCGAGCGCAUAAUAACAAAGGUGGAAUUGCUUUCUGACAGACUAGUGACCGCAGCCCUGCCGCCAGUGUUCAACUGGAUAAUCGGAGAUGACGUGGUAAUGUUGGUACGAGAUGCGUUCGACGGCUCAGACCUUUCGACCACGAGCCUUAUUGAUUCAGAGUUUUGAAGAAGAUUCUGGGCGUCUACAUGCCUCACAUCUCGCGCGUCGUAAUCGUCGAUUUUCUUGAUCACGUCACCCCUCUGGAGCGUCUCGUUCUCCGACUGCAAGCAAUAAAUAAUUCUAUCGUAAAGUAGCCACUCGUUGCUGAUGCGUCCAAGCUUUAGGUAUUAUUAUUGUUAGUUAACUAACGUGCAGCAUAUCAAUAUCUGAAAUUGCGUUGGCUCGACUCUCAACAGGCAUGAUGUUAAGUGUUGUAAAGCUGCGUAAGCUGAAUAAGUUAAUGAGGAGAAUGUUGGAAACGAAUCUCAGGAACAGAAACACUACAAAGCAACAAUUACACGAGCUGUGUACGUCCAAUGGCAGCAGAUCGCUAGAGGCAAAGUUGCUUAGCACGAGUGAGAUGAAAAAAGAAGAAGAAGAACUCACGCGAGUGACGACGAUCGGUGUGCCCAAAUCAGCACCUCCAGCGAUACGUAUCCCCCAAGGUCUGCCGGUGCUGGAUCUCUUAAGCUUCACGAUCACCGUUUGUUUCCUCGUCAUGUUCUACUCCGUCUAUCCGGAACAACGCAGUCGCGUAUUUAUAACGGACACAGGUCGCAGGUGUACCGAUCCGUUUGGUCGAGAAUUGAGAGCAAGACGAUAACGAAAAAGAAAAGGAAAAGAAAAGAAAAAAAGAAGAGACAAAGAGUCCCUCCGAGGAUGAAGGAGAAAACUGACAGAACUGUGCGAGAUCGUUGGGAGAGAUGGAAACGAUACGAAUGUACGGCUUGCGACCCGGGGCGCAAUAUCGGAUCCCGUACGCUCCUUACUGGCAAACGAGGACUACUGGCUGCACCGCCACUCUUGAUUUUGACAAGCUUUACUUUUGUGCGAGCUUAGUUACCCAACUAUCGGCCCGCCGCUUCUGCUAUUCUGGCCCCAUUUCGAAUUGGCAUACCGUGUGUAUUGUUCUGGUUCGACCUGCACUCAUUUCUCUGGCAUUUGCGGUCUCCCUACCUUUCCUAUGCCUACCGAUAAGAUUAACGACAGUCUACGAAACUAAAUAUCACAGAGAUUACCGAUUCUUGCAGUUUUUUUUUUUUUUUUUUUUCACUCUUCCAGAGUAGUCUUGCCUUUCUAAAGUUUUUCAUUGAACGACGAGUAAAUUGUCAAUGUGAUUAAAGAUGCUUCAAUUAUUAUACGUGACACGUUCAUCGAGGAGUCAAGAAACUGUCGUCGGAUGUUGAAUGAAUGCACAGAAUUAAACAUACACUGCACGUUAACACAAUAUCAUCUUGAGAAAAGUGCAUUGAAUUGAAAAGAAAAGAAGUGUAGGGUGAAGUCCAUCACCGUGAAUUACAGAGAGGCAUGAAAUGAAGAGAAAUUUAGGAUUUGAUCGGGCCAUCACAUACUCACAUAGGUUUCGUAAAAGUUGCUUAUCGAAAACUUAAGGGACAUCUUCGAUCGUCAAUCUUUCGAAAUUUUCAACCAGCAGCUUUCCUCUCUCUUGAACGACGUCCGGCGAAUGCCACUCGGAAGCACCUCUUCCCAAUAGCAGUUUCGAUCUAAUUACUUUGACCGCACUGUGAUUAAUGAGACUACAUUAGGAGUGUAAGAGAAAUAGUAAACGAGAGUACACAAAAUAAACCGAGAGGAAGAGAUUCUACGUAAGUUUGACUUAAAUUAGCAACCUAUAGCGCGAAAGGUUAGUCAAUCGUGGUUUUAAGAAUGUGCCGUUCUAGUGACUCAUUUAUCUCGAUUUACACGAUCCGAAGAAAGUGCGUGGAUGAAGAAUCGAAUCGUACUCUCGCAGAGUACAUCAGCAUCAUGCUAAGUAUAUUAGCUUGUCCGUCACUCGUUAAUGAACGUCGUUACGAGUACGUAAUUCCACUGUUGAUCUACAUAAAAGAUAAAGCAAUUUACAAUUGGAUGAGAAUUCAUUGAACUACAAGAUAUUAUACAAAUUUAAUAUACAUACGUAAACAUUAUUUUGUAUACAAUUUUUUCGAGAUAUUCGAAGGAAUGUAACAUCUUUGUUUAUGAGUAUUCUUCGCUAAUGGCUCUGCUAAUUACCAUUCGGCGAAUUUCACUGGUACCAGCACCAAUUUCGUAUAAUUUAGCGUCUCUUAAAAAUCUCCCAGUAGGAUAAUCAUUUAUAUAACCAUUCCCACCUAAAA